CCUACGGGUGGCAGCAGUGGGGGAUAUUGCACAAUGGGGGAAACCCUGAUGCAGCGACGCCGCGUGAGUGAAGAAGUAUUUCGGUUUGUAAAGCUCUAUCAGCAGGGAAGAAAAUGACAGUACCUGACCAAUAAGCCCCGGCUAACUACGUGCCAGCAGCCGCGGUAAUACGGAGGGGCCAAGCGUUAUCCGGAUUUACUGGGGUGAAAGGGAGCGUAGACGGUUAUGUAAGUCUGGAGUGAAAGCCCGGGGCCUAACCCCGGGACUGCUUUUGAAACUGUGUAGCUAGAGUAGAGGAGAGGUAGGCGGAAUUCGUGGUGUAGCGGUGAAAUGCGUAGAGAUCAGGAGGAACACCGGCGGCGAAGGCGGCCUGCUGGAAUAAAACUGACGUUGAGGCUCGAAAGCGUGGGGAGCAAACAGGAUUAGAUACCCGGGUAGUC
rnacentral:rRNA from 1 species